rnacentral:rRNA from 1 species
GUCUGCUUGGAGAUAUAAGAAGUCUAGCCUGCUCUCUGAAUAAUUUAAGGGCCGCGGUAAUCUGACCGUGCAAAGGUAGCGUAAUAGUUAGUUUUUUAAUUGGAAUCUUGUAUGAAUGGUUGGACAAAAGAAAUACUGUCUCUGUGAUUUAUAUUGAAUUUACCUUUUAAGUGAAAAGGCUUAAAUAUUUUAAAAAGACGAUAAGACCCUAUAAAGCUUUAUGAAAAAAGUUAAUUUGGUUUAUUUAAGUUAUAAAGAUUUGAUUGAUUUAUUCAUUUUGUUGGGGAGACAGCAUUAUAAUUUUUAAUAACUGUGGAUAUAUAAAACAAAGGUAGAUGUUAAAAAAGGUAAAAGAUCCUAUUUAAAGAUUUAAAGUUCAAGUUACUUUAGGGAUAACAGCGUUAUUUUUCUUAAGAGUUCAUAUCGAAAGAAAAGAUUGCGACCUCGAUGUUGAAUUAAAAUUUCUAGGUGAUUGCAGAAGUUACCUUAGAAGGUCUGUUCGACCUUUAAAUUUUUACAUGAUUUGAGUUCAGACCGGCGUAAGCCAGGUCGGUUUCUAUCUUUUAAUUUAGAAUAAGUUAUUUUAGUACGAAAGGAUUUAAUAACUAAAAGUAUUUUUAUAUUGGUAGGCUACUUUGGCAGAAGUGUAUGUGUUGGA